rnacentral:lncRNA from 1 species
CAGAUGAGAAGCGGAGAGGCCGGGCGGAAGGCGGCCGAGGCAGAAUUGGGAAGGGGUGUUCGAGGUCCUACCUGCUCAGCUUCUACAGGCCCAGGCUGGAGGGGCUGCCCUAGCCCGACCUCGCUGCUGACUCUGGGGAUGGAGCGCCCCCUCUCCCUGCUCCACCUCCGCGCAAAAGCACCAGCCUGGCUGCCUCCAGAUCAGAACUGUCCUCAAGAUGGAGGGGAAGGCGGCGUCUUACUCCAUCAUGGAUCUGUUCACUCAACAACUGUUAAUGGAAUACGCCCCCGCCAGGUCUCAGGCACUGAACUAAGUGCCGGGGACAGAUACAAAUAUUAA